AGGAGGUGGUCUGGAUAUAUGCAUUAUGAACAGGUUGUAAUAGAACAUAAGCCGUAAUACAUAGACAAACAUGGUAGUGUGUUAAGGUGUUCCAGGAGAGAGGUUGGGGGUUGAGUGGCUGGUUACAGAAAGACCCCAGCCUAAGUUACCCAGGAAGGUUAGGAAGGAGGUAAACUACCAGGGAGCUAGCUGUGAGGAGAGGUGCUGCUGAGGGGAGGGGAGAGGUGCUGCUGAGGGGAGAGGAGAGGUGCUGCUGAGGGGAGAGGAGAGGUGCUGUUGUGAGGAGAGGUGCUGUUGUGAGGAGAGGUGCUGUUGUGAGGAGAGGUGCUGUUGUGAGGAUAGGUGCUGUUGUGAGGAGAGGUGCUGUUGUGAGGAGAGGAGAGGUGCUGUUGUGAGGAGAGGACAGGUGCUGCUGAGGGGUUAUGAGGAGAGGAGAGCAGGAGGAGAGGAGAGGUGCUGCUGAGGGGAGAGGAGAGGAGGAGGAGAGGAGAGGUGCUGCUGAGGGGAGAGGAGAGGUGCUGCUGAGAGGAGAGGAGACAGGAAAUAGCUAGCGGGCGCAGUGUGUGUUAUGACAACCCGGGCACACUACAGGGAGAUGGGGGCAGGAAGAGACAGGUAGUUAGUUAUAUUGGGAGCAGGAGAGGUGAGGAUUGAAGAAGGCAGGAAACGGCUGUGUUUGGUGCCGCAUGGCCGCUCGUUUUGUUGACUAACCUUGACGGCAUUCACCUCCUCUCCUAGCUCUCCUCCUGUGUCUAAACACUUCCCGUGUGUGAACACUUCCCGUGUGUGAACACUUCCCGUGUGUGAACACUUCCCGUGUGUGAACACUUCUCGUGUGUGAACACUUCCCGUGUCUGAACACUUCCCGUGUCUGAACACUUCCCGUGUCUGAACACUUCCC
ensembl:lncRNA